rnacentral:lncRNA from 1 species
AUUAAAAAAAAAAUUUUUUAUUGUGAUUUUCCUUUUCUAUUUGCAAAUUCUUUAUCAAUAUAACUGAGCGUAACCAUUAUAUGAAUUUCAUGAAGUUGUGAAGGAAGAGUUUGUUUCAAAACGAUUGAUUGGCAGAAAUUCUCUCAUAAAAUGGCUGAAAAGAACCAUCUUAAUUUCACAGGUUGGUUAAAGAAAAGUUUGUGUCAAAACAAUGGGUUAGCAGGAGUUGAUUAAAUUGCCAAGACCUAUUUAUGAAGAUUGACUUUGCAAUAUUGUCACAAAUGCCCUGAUAAACUUAACAAUUGUGUACGAUUUGCGAUAUAAACAACAAUAUAUUGUAUAUGCUUGAGAUUGUAAAUAUAUAAUAGAGUAGUUAAAAUAUUUGGUUUAGUUUGCACAACAAAGAAUUUUCUUGCACAUCU